rnacentral:lncRNA from 1 species
CUCGAAGGGUCCUCGGAGGGAAUGCCAUAUCUUGCUGAUUCUUUUUGGAGUCUCUCUGACGCUCAGUCCUGAUGUGAGCAGGAAGCAGCCUGAUGCAAACGCUCAUGUUUAUGUUCCCAAACAACUGUGAAGAAGCAUUUGUUAAGCACUAGCUCGAAAGGUAUGGGUGCUGCCGUAUAAGCUGUCUGCAGUCCUUAGCCUUUGGCUCAUCAAGUAAUGAACAGACUUCAUCUUACCAAGUUUAAGAGACUUGAGAGGAGUACAUAUGUUCUGUUUUCAUGGCAAAGAGAAAUAUGCAAAUGUAAUUAAGUUCCAGAGAAGAAGAAAUAUAACUUAAAACCAUGGUGGCUGAAGUGACUAUUUCUUCAAGAAGCCAUUAACACCAAGGGAGUUGGUAGGUAACCU